rnacentral:lncRNA from 1 species
ACGGGGACGGGAAACAAGCAAAAAGUCCAAAUCAACCAACCAACCAAAACAAAAUGUUUGAACUUCGACUGUGGAAAAUAAAAGCCUUCAUCAAUUGAGUAGUGCUUUGAGAUGCAGUGGAGAAAGUGGACAGAUAACAGUCCUGACAGUGCUGGAAGAAGAUGCAGGGAAGGUGUGGGUAACUUGAGCAGUCCUACAAAAGGGGAGCCUCCCAGAAGAAUUCAGGGGCCUGGAAGUCCAAUAGCCAGUGCAUCCUGACAGCACAGAGAAACUAAAAAUUUCCAGGAAACACAACAAAGCCCUUAAAUACAUUCCUCAUUGUAAAUGUUCUCUCUCUCUCUCUCUCUCUCUCUCUCUCUCUCUCUCUCUCUCUCUCUCUCUCCUUCCUUCCUUCCUUCCUUCCUUCUUUCCUUUCUUUCUUUCCUUCUUUUUUUCUUUAUUGAAUCUUCUAUGUAGUUACAAGGCAACCUGGAUACAGAUUUAGAAAGACGUCACUUAACUAGUAAAAUGUUUACAUAUAUUACGUUUUCUGUGCUAGUGUCUCGAGAGAACAUAUAAUUCUAGGCAAUAGUUUGAAGAAUUGAAAAAUAAUAGCAUUUUAAACAUUUUAGGCAAGGUGUUCUGCAGUGUAGGGCAGUAAGGGCUGUGUAUUUUGUAAUGUGUUGAAAGAUGAUAGAAAUUUUUCUUGACCUCGGUGUGGGGUGACUCCUUGCUUCCCAGCCUCACUAUUGAACCUGUAAUUUUUCAGGUCCUGGGUGAACGAUUAAUGAUGCUUCAUCAUGAUUAGUUAUGUCUAAGAACUCGGUCAUCGCUGUUAUUCUGUUUACUGGUUAUCUCUAACUGUAUGUGAAAUCCUAAGAUACCAAAAAGGUUCCUAAGAAGGCAUCAGAACGCACUGGGUUUCCCCAGAUUGGGCAUUUAUGAGCAGAAAUGCAUGGAUUGCUUUGGCAGGUUGCUAUCUACUUCAGGGAGGACCAGAAGCUCGGAUUCCGUGUUUUCUUUCCGCAAGGGGGAAACUGCGCUGCUUCUUAGCUGAACCAAUGCCCUAAAGAUUAUUUGCGCACACGAAGGAAUUUUUUUUUUUUUUCAGGCACAAGUUAUUUUUGGUUGGGGAAACAGGGAGAGUGAGACUAAAAACUGACUUCCUUAGUUUAUUUUAACAAAAAUGGUUUUAAUAUUGACUAACACUGGUUUCCAUCACUUUUAUCAGGGGCAAAUAAGCACAUAGCAAAGAGAGGCUUGUUUUUGUGUUGUGAAACUCAUUUAAACACCAAAACAAGCAACGAGAAUAAACAUUUGUGCCAACUCCGUAUUACAAGGACGGGAAAUACAAUCUUUAGGAAGGCUAAUGUUACUGGGCUUGACUUAGAACGAAUGUACCCAUUGAUAGAAUAUCAAAGUCAAGCAUCAAUUUUCUUGGUACACUAUUGAAAAUAAAAUCAAUGUCAGGCUCUGAGUUAAUAACGGUUCGAUCACAGGUAUGCUUAACUCCAAGCCAUUCUUUCUCCUAUUUUAAUUUAUACAACGAACAUUCAAUUUAAGGUCAAAUCAUUUCAAAGUAUUGUGAAAAUAUUUUGACUUACCAGACAGCAAAUUAACAGAAAAUAUUUAUAAUUCUGUUCUGUUAUCAAUUCUUACUUGGCACAGUUUGCCUAUUGUAUCCCUUCAUAAUUAAUUAAUGUUUAAUAAGUUAUAUUGAACAAUCUGAGACUUAGGACUAUAUAAAAUGAAAACGAAAUCAUGCAUGGUAGCAACAAUUUAUUUAUUUAGGCAUUUUAUAAUCGCUGUAUAUGUAUAGUUGGCUGUAUAUGUAUAGUAUAGACAGUACUUUAAUCUAUGGCAAUGUUGGAACCAAGUCUACUACCAGUGCAUAUGUGAUAAAUGAGUUAAUUUAUAAUAAGUACCAGGAAAUGGUGUUAAAGAACCAAACCACGUAUAAACCUUACAUUUUAAUCCAUAGUAAUAAUGCAACAAUUUCAAUAUAAAAUACCGUCCAGUGUUUCUAUUCUGAAAACCUACAUGAAAGCAGACUUAAACAAAUACAGAAAGCUUACUAGUAUAGAAGCAAAUGUUUAUAGACUUUAGACUUCCAUUAUAGUUAAUUAACAAUUAAAAAUAGCCAAUUUUAAGAGAAACUUACGACAUUUUCAUAGUAUGUGCUAAACAAUUUUAUAACUUUGAGCCAGCUAGCCUUUCCAGCAAUGUUAGUAAAGCCAACAUCUGCCACUCCUUCAAAGGGACUCUUAAAGUUACAACUGUGCUUAAAACAAUCAGUACGAGCCAGGUGAUUCUGAAAAACGUCUAUAAAUACUGUCAACUUCUUGGCUUCAAUUACACAAAGUAAUAUAUUAGUGAGCAUGAAUUGUUCAGUUUUGUUAAAAUAGAUGUGCUCACUUAAUCUAACCAGCUUUUAUGUAGUGAAUAUACACCGUUAUGGUAUACAUAUUCUGUAGACAUCUUAGAUUAAUGAAAAUAAGCACACAUUUUUGUUUUAACGGAUAAAGUUAUAACUAUGCUCAUUCCAAAAAUGCAAUGAAUAAUUUGGGGAUGUGGAUUUUGGGGGAUUGAGUCACAUUAUAUUUUUGUAAAGUUACAAAUAUUUAUAGCUAUUAUAACACAAAAUAUUUAGUUUCAAACUGGGUCAGUCUCUGUAUGCCUAUACGGAAUGAAAAGUGUUGCAUCUAAACCGUACUACAAGCUAAUCUCAGAAUAAUGUCAGUUUGUAUUCCUCAGUAUUCCAAUCAUCAUCUUUUCUGAAAAUAAACAACUUUGCAAUUUAUCUGUGUUGCUGGAUUAUAACUUUGGUAUUUUCUUUAGCAUAAAAUGCAAUCUUUAGGUUCUCAGUUAUCGAGGAGAAUUGAGAAAAACUUAAAUAUUUUUAAACUGUGGCAUACAAAAUGUCACUGUGAAGCUUUCUAGAGUAUUCAUUUUCAAUGAGACCAUUUUUAGAUGGUGAUCUGACUU